GGCCGCAUAGUGUAGGGGUUAUCACAUCAGAUUCUGAUUCUGGGGACCCUGGGUCGAAUCCGGGUGCGGCCU